rnacentral:lncRNA from 1 species
GAUUACAGAAAUCUAAAGCCAAUGAUAAUAUAGUCAGAAAAGUGAUUUUGAUAGAUUUAUUUUAAUUAGAUUAUACAUUUCUGGAAGAGAUGUGUGUGUGUGUGUGUGUGUGUGUGUGUGUACACCAAAACACAUAUUAUAUAUUCUAAAUUUUAUCACUAAUACUACCUUUGCUUUACUUUUUUUGCCUUUUCUUUAUUAGCUAAGAACACUUUCCUUUAAUUUCAGAUCUCAACUCUGUACUCUAAAGUGUACAUCCUACACACUUAAACCACUAAGUUGGGUGCUCUAGAAAUUCUAUGAAGCCUAUAUUUACCUUAGAACAUUUCUUCACUCAUUCAAAUAAGAAUGGACACAUGCAAAUUAAGAUGUAACAUCAAAGCUACUCAGCAUCUGGAAAAACCUUGUCUAUAAAAUAAUGUAUACAACCGUAUGAUACGAUUCCCGAAGAUGAAAUGCCCAUGUAGCACGCAUGAGCAAAAGGCCCAGAGGACCACAGCUAUGGUGGUCCUGAAGUGGAUGACCCACCAAAUCAACACCUGAUGCUACUUACCUCAAGACUUUGUCUCAUGGUAGUGACUUAAGGAGUGAUCCCUAAGAAGUCAACUCUAGGAUGGGAUUCUAGAGUUGAACAUACAGUAACCAGCUUGUAUGAGGAUUUCAUCUCAAAUAGUAGGUGGAAAAAUGAUAGUCCCUGUGUUCUGUAAAACUGCAGUUGUGAAGGCUUUCACCUCCAGUGAAUUCUGCUAAACUACAGUUGGAAAGGGUGAACUGGCAUUUGACAUUUGGUAUGACAUCUCUUGCCUUUGAGAAGCACAGUUAUUAUGGUAGUGAUAUUGAGAAAUUAGAUAGGUAUAAUUGAGCAACAUUGAUACUUUGAAAAGAGAAAAUAGCAGACACAUGGCGAUCAAAUAUUAAUUCAAAUAAUUCAGAAACAAAUUUAAACAACAACAAAAAAAAACAUUUGAACAUUUAAAAAAUUAUUUUCUCUGGGUGCCUGGGUGGUUCAGUCAGUUAAGU